rnacentral:rRNA from 1 species
CAUCGCCUCCUGCCCACUCAGCAUAGGAGGUCCCGCCUGCCCUGUGACCAAAAGUUUAACGGCCGCGGUAUUUUAACCGUGCAAAGGUAGCGCAAUCAAUUGUCUUUUAAAUGAAGACCUGUAUGAAUGGCAUAACGAGGGUUUAACUGUCUCUUUUUUCAGGUCAAUGAAACUGAUCUGUCCGUGCAGAAGCGGACAUAUUAACACAAGACGAGAAGACCCUAUGGAGCUUUAGACGCCCACCAACCACGAAAAGCAGCCUACCUAAACAGAUGCUCUAAACAACGCGGUCCUGGUACAAACGUCUUCGGUUGGGGCGACCGCGGAGGAGAACAAAGCCUCCGAGAGGAAUGGGAACAAACCCUAAAACCAAGAGCCACAGCUCUAAGUCACAAAAAAUUUGACCGACAAUGAUCCGGCUUACUGCCGAUCAACGGACCAAGUUACCCUAGGGAUAACAGCGCAAUCCCCUCCCAGAGUCCAUAUCGACGAGGGGGUUUACGACCUCGAUGUUGGAUCAGGACAUCCUAAUGGUGCAGCCGCUAUUAAGGGUUCGUUUGUUCAACGAUUAAAGUCCUACGUG